rnacentral:rRNA from 1 species
GACGAACGCUGGCGGCGUGCUUAACACAUGCAAGUCGAACGGAAAGGCCCUGCGUUUGUGGGGUGCUCGAGUGGCGAACGGGUGAGUAACACGUGAGUAACCUGCCCUUGACUUUGGGAUAACUUCAGGAAACUGGGGCUCAUACCGGAUAGGAGCUCCUGCUGCAUGGUGGGGGUUGGAAAGUUUCGGCUGUUGGGGCUGGACUCGCGGCUUAUCAGCUUGUUGGUGGGGUAGUGGCUUACCAAGGCUUUGACGGGUAGGCGGCCUGAGAGGGUGACCGGCCACAUGGGGACUGAGAUACGGCCCAGACUCCUACGGGAGGCAGCAGUGGGGAAUAUGGCACAAUGGGCGGAAGCCUGAUGCAGCAACGCCGCGUGCGUGAUGACGGCCUUCGGGUUGUAAACCGCUUUCGCAUGUGACGAAGCGGGAGUGACGGUAAUGGGUAAAGAAGCACCGGCUAACUACGUG